AAGAGACGUUAGUAAAACAAUUACAUGGCUCUGUCAAGGCCAAAUCACAGGUGAAACCCCUGUACAUCUCA
rnacentral:tRNA from 1 species